GGCCACUUAGGUGGAUCAGUGAAUCGGUUAAGUGAGGCGGGGAGGGCACCACAAAAGGCAGCCGCGGUGUCAUGUGCUUCAUGGGGAGUGGUGCAGACAGCCUGGCCCUCUGGCUUUGCAGGCUGUGGAGUACAAGUCUGGCCCGGGCCGCAGGCCCUAAUGGGCCUGUGAAGGUCAGGAAUGGAGACGACCUCUGGAGAUCUUCCUUGCGUACAUGUGCAGGACUUUGUUCUUUCCCGCACUUUGCACUGGCCAGCAGAGGGCGCUGCCCAAGGACCGAGGCCACUAGGGAGAUGGACGAGAAUCCUUCCUUGUGUAGGGCGAGGCCUGGGCUGGGGACUGACAGAGAUGAACAAGUGGACGUGGCACAGUUUUUGGUGGCCUUUGAGGACAUGCACAUGGCCUCCAUGGGUAGUUGACCAGAGUUCUCCCCGGGAAGAAUAAGAUUCCUUUCGACUCUGCUGAGGAAGGAAGCCUCAUAGGAGAGAUGGUGCCAUAGUGAGGUCUUGAAGGAUGAUGGUAAACUCAAUAGGUAGUGAUGGGAGAAGGCCUGGAGGUAAGAAGGCAAAAACCAUGCUGGGUGAACUCUGCAAGGAGCAGAAGACUUAUGUGCAUGGGAAAUAAAGUUGGAAAAUGGGUUCAAGUUGAAUGAGCACAGAUGAACACUGAAAUACAACUCUUUCCUAUGGGUAAUGGGGAGCCACCGAUGGUUGUUGAGCAAGAGUAUCCUGCAGGGAGAGGAAACUGAUGCGUUACUUUAGUUUCUCUCCAUAACAGCAUCAGUGGCAGGCAGGCCGGGAACCUUCCAUGGUCUAGGUUAUAAAAUCCACUGAGUGAGGGAGCUAGGAGAAUGAGAAGGGGAGAAGAGGAGGGGUGAGGAGGAAAUGAGGGAGCAGGAAGGUUGAGUUGGGGGAAGAAUAGAGGAGAGCAAGAAAAGAGAUACCAUAAUAGAAGGAGAAGUUAUAGGCUUAAAGAGAAAUCAGGCACUAGGGAAAUGUCCAGAGAUCUACAAGGAUGAUACCAACUAACCAUCUAAGCAACAGUGGAGAGGCUUCCUUAAAUGCCCUUCUCUGAUAAUGAGAUUGAUGACUACUUUAUAUGCCAUCCUAGAGCCUUCAUCCAACAGCUGAUGGAAGCAGAAGCAGACACCCACAGCUAAACACUGAACUGAACUGGAACCCAGUUGCAGAGAGGGAGGAGUGAUGAGCAAAGAGGUCAAGACCAGGCUGGUGAAACCCACAGAAACAGCUGACCUGAACAAGGGGGAGCUCAUGAACCCCAGACUGAUAGCUGGGAAACCAGCAUAGGACUAAUCCAGAUUCCAUGAACAUGGUUAUCAUUCAGGAGGCCUCAGAAAUCUAUGGGUCCUCUGGUAGUAGAUCAGUAUUUAUCCCUAGCAUACGAAUGAGUUUUGGGAACCCAUUCCACAUAGUGGGAUACUCUCUCAGCCUAGACACAGGGGGGAGGACCCAGGCCCUAUCCCAAAGGAUAUGACAGACUCUGAAGAGCCUCCAUGGAAGGCCUCACCCUCCCUCAGGAGCAGAAAGGGUAUGGGAUAGGGAGUUAGUGGGGGGCAGGGGAGGAGGAGAGGGAGAG
ensembl:lncRNA